AUCAGCAGCCAAAGCACCUGCAGGUCAGACCAGCUAAUCCACCUGGAGCCAAGCAGGUUAAGCCCUGGCCAGUACUUGGAUGGGAGACCAAGUAGGAAAACUAGGUAACUGCUGGUA
ensembl:rRNA 5S_rRNA 5S ribosomal RNA